AGGAGUGGCCAAUCCUGACCCAGGAGAGCCAAAAGAUCUGCUGGAAUUCCUCCUAAAAUCAUCAACCGUCUCAGACACCAGAGAAAACGAAGAGGCUUUUCCUUCCCAUGAGGAUCCUCGGUGUGCCGGGGCCACGCCGCCGAACGCGAAGCCCGGUAAGAGGCGUAGAUUUAUGGGUAAAUAAUGCGUAAAUAUAUCGGGGAGGCCCACGUGCGUCAGGCCCCUUGAUGGAUGAGCGGUGGCUGAGGAAUUCCGCCAGCGUUUUGGCGAAAAGUUCAGUAAGACAAUAGGCCGCAUUCAGGGGCUGCCGUGGCAACAAAGGGGGCUCGCCCCAACUUCGGAUUCCACACAAAUUACACACUGGGCUCCGGCGAGGUCCUCACAAUGCAGCAUCUUUGUGCGACAGAAUUUACACUGGAAAGUGGCCGCGUCCCCUUGGACCGGGGGGUCCUCACCCAAGGGGGGGGGGGGGCAUCGAUCCCAAAAUUUGGGCCCCGGCCUACGGGACAGGGUGGGGCUUGGGUGGGUUAACGGAGUUCUGCGGAAUCGUGUGUGUCAUGCUCUCAGCCCCCUGUCACAGGAAUGUGAUCUUUUUCCCUGGAAAACAUCGCUGCGGUGGCUGCCGUGGAAGCUGCGUCUUCCCAUCGUAGAAUAAGACCCGGGCUCUCAGGCUCUCAGGGUUUAUGAAGUCUUGCCUGUACUGUCAUGGUAUAUUAAUCAUUACUUACCCAAGGAGGCCUAGUGGAUGAGAAAUGAGGUCCCACUGAAAACAAUAACAUGAUGCCUGCUUUA